rnacentral:tRNA from 1 species
GGGUGUAUAGCUCAGCGGUAGAAUGUUCGCUUCACAUGCGAAAGGUCGAAGGUUCAAAACCUUCUACACCCA